UCUGACACAGGUGCUGCAUGGCUGUCGUCAGCUCGUGUCGUGAGAUGGUUGGGUUAACGUCCCGUAACGAGCGCCAACCCUUGUCCUUAGUUACCAGCACGUUAUGGUGGGCACUCUAAGGAGACUGCCGGUGACAAACCGGAGGAAGGUGGGGAUGACGUCAAGUCAUCAUGGCCCUUACGGCCUGGGCUACACACGUGCUACAAUGGUCGGUACAAAGGGUUGCCAAGCCGCGAGGUGGAGCUAAUCCCAUAAAACCGAUCGUAGUCCGGAUCGCAGUCUGCAACUCGACUGCGUGAAGUCGGAAUCGCUAGUAAUCGUGAAUCAGAAUGUCACGGUGAAUACGUUCCCGGGCCUU
rnacentral:rRNA from 1 species